rnacentral:rRNA from 1 species
GACGAACGCUGGCGGCGUGCUUAACACAUGCAAGUCGAGCGGAGCGGCGAACGGGUGAGUAACGCGUGAGUAACUGGCCCCUUCCCUGGGAUAACAGUUGGCUACGGCUGCUAAUACCGGAUAGUGGGGGAUGAAUCGCGUCUUAUCAGCUUGUUGGUGGGGUAGUGGCAGACCAAUGCGACGACGGGUAGCCGGCCUGGGAGGGCGACCGGCGUCAUGGUGCUAGGGUACGGCCCAAACUCCUAUGGGGGGCAACAGGGGGGAACAUUGUGCAGCGGGGGAAAGCCUGAUGCAGCAGCGUGCGUGCGGGAUGUAGGCCUUCGGGGUGGAAACCGCUUUCAGCCAUGACGCGGUAGUGGCAGAAGAAGCACCGGCUAACUACGUGCCAGCAGCCGCGGUAAUUC